UCGGCCGUGGUAUGGACCAAAGUGUGUGCUUCCACCAUCCAGGCCGUCAUGGACAAUGGACACAGUAUGUCUGCAGGCUGGACCAAGAACAGUGGCGCUGUGGCACCUGUAGCCCUGGCAGAGAGUGACCACUGGGAUAUACAUGGAUAUACAUGGACGACGCAAACACUAUGAAGAGAAUCAGCAUGCAUUACAAUGCCACCGUAAUUCUGUAGUUGAGAUGAACCAAACUGACAGACACCCUCAACAUCACUAAGAGCUGUCGCAAAAGUGGUGCAAUGAUUGCACUUAACCAGCAGGUGCAGUUCUCCAAACCUCCCUGCAGUGUCAUCUCCGAAGGUUCCUUUGUGUCCUCCAUCAAAGCCAGACCCAGCUCUACAUCGCUUCUCGUCACAUAGACUCCCCCAUUGCCGUCUUCAAUGCCGGUGGAGAAACUCUUGCGCAACUCAAGCUGGCUCUCCAGGGAAAAGUCCUGAGUGACUCUGACCCGACAUUUGCCCUUCACAUCGACUUCCAAAGAGACAUCUACGACCCAGUGACAAUCGAGACUUGUGUGCUGUGACAGAAGAAACUAUGACCCUGUCUGUUGCCAUCAACAUCUUCAAGGACAUUUCACUCAAACUACAAGGACUAUAGUCCUACAAUAUGUACACAUUGAGUGGAAAUAUUGUUGGAAAUGAAACAGAAAGCCACUACCUUACAGCCUUAUCAAAUUGGAGUGGUCACAGAGAAGACUGACUUGCAUCAUUCAGCCUUGAAGGAUCAUCAGUACCACGGUGACCUCAUAGUGAGUACACGUAGACCAAUGCGACAACUAGAAUUAGGAAGUCAAUACUGUAGUGGCACCACUGCCUGUAUGCAGGUGGCUUGCCGAAAGACAUGCUCACCCCAAGGAUAAUCUGCACCACAGUGACCUCGUCGGCAACAAUUGGAGUGAUCAGAGAAGAUUGACUUGCAUCAUUCAGCCUGGAAGGAUCAUCAGCACCACAGUGACCUCGUUGACCUCACUUUGCACCUGACUCUCAGACCUAUGCCUAUCCCAUGUGAAGUUCACAAGUAGCCCUGACCCCAAAGGAAUAAACAUCCUGCCGGCUCUUCGCAGCAACAGAAUUGAUGUUGAGGCAUUUGAAACCAUGAGAGACGACACAGAUACUUGCCUGUGUAGUAACAGAGCAGAGAUCUUGGAGAGAUUUUAUCAUACACAGGAUGGAUGUGAUGUGCAACAUUUGGUACAAUCAAAUCAUGCAGAACAAUACUUGGACACGAUUUGAUUCCAGAGAUGGCAAGCUUGAACGUGAUCCUCAGCGAUGAGAAAAUGGUAGUGGCAGCACUCUCCUCCCCACAAACCGUGUCAGAGUCACAAUGGCACAGGCAGAUGUAAUACAUUCUGACAUUUCCUCUAGCACCCAAGAUGCUGCCAGAACUAUGAUAUGAGCUCGGGCCAUAGUCCAGGCUUGGUGAAUGGAGAAAGUUCAUCAUUUUGAACAACAAACAGGGCACUAUAAAUUGGACCAUCGCAGAGGGGAUAGCCAUAUUGGAAAAUGGCUUCCUACCUGCUCUUGUCUUCCCGGAAAUGGCAUUUGAUGGAAACACCAUGCAGCUGCAGGAAAGUCUGCAAUCACGGAAUGAGCCAGUCUAGGAUUCCAACAGCGUAAGGCCAAGAGGAAGUUCAUCUGAGGUCAUUCAGGGACAGCCACAUGUGCUAGAGGUCUUUCCAUUCUCCAUGGCCAUACAUUAACUUGUAGGCGUGUUUUGAGUCCAGAACGACCUUGCCUCUUUGCGACACCAAUUUGGCUCAUUGACACAAUGGGAACAAGUGUCAUGAUGCACUUAGCAUCUUUCCCAAAGGCUUUAUUUUUAUGUAGCAAAUGUUUCCUGAAACAAUUCUUCAUCCUAUAGCACC